CGGAAAUGUUCUCUGUGAUUUUCUGGCUGAGUGACUUCAAUGACGAUUAAGAGCUGAUGUUUUUUGGAAGGGGGUGAUCAUGUUCUGUGCAAGCUGUUGACAGGUGCCCCUGUCAUGCCUGAUGGGUUUCUGUAUGAAAUGAAGCAAGCCAGCAGGUCUCGGCUGUCGGUCCAUUUCACUGCCACAAAGACGGGUAGGGAGGUGGUCGUUUCUUUAGGCAUAUGAGCGUAAAUGACAUGGAUGUGGAUACCAGGAUGUGAUGACAGCAAACAGUUACUAAAACAUUUGGGAGUCUGUUUCUGGUUUUGGGAUAAAUAUGUCUUAUUUGCAUUUUUUCACUUCACACUUGGGUUCUACAAUUUAUUUUCAGUGCCUUGAUCAGUUAUUCACAGAUUCGAAAGCAUUUGUUGAUAUUGUGACAUACUGCAAGGACUUGUAAGGAAGAGUGCCAAAUUUUCAUGUAGACAAGCAGCAAACAUUUUUUAUAUAUAUAUAUAUAUAUA